rnacentral:rRNA from 1 species
GUUGGGCACUCUAAUGGGAACUGCCGGUGACAAACCGGAGGAAGGUGGGGAUGACGUCAAGUCCUCAUGGCCCUUAUAGGUGGGGCUACACACGUCAUACAAUGGAUGGUACAAAGGGUCGCCAACCCGCGAGGGGGAGCCAAUCCCAUAAAGCCAUUCGUAGUCCGGAUCGCAGUCUGCAACUCGACUGCGUGAAGUCGGAAUCGCUAGUAAUCGUGGAUCAGAAUGUCACGGUGAAUACGUUCCCGGGUCCUU